CCCUUAGAUGUUCUGGGCCGCACGCGUGCUACACUGAGUGGAUCAGCGGGUCAGGUUGCGUGAAAGCGUUUCCUAAUCUUGAAAUCCGCUCGUGAUGGGGAUUGACGGUUGCAAUUUUCUGUCAUGAACGAGGAAUACCUUGUAAGCGCGGGUCAUCAUCCCGCGCUGAAUACGUCCCUGCCCUUUGUACACACCGCCCGUCGCUCCUACCGAUUGAGUGGUCCGGUGAGGCUUUGGGAUCUGAGCGGAAAGAGCGUUUCGCUCGUUCUGCCCGGAAAACUCAGUCGAACCUUAUCAUUUAGAGGAAGGAGAAGUCGUAACA
rnacentral:rRNA from 1 species